rnacentral:rRNA from 1 species
AUGGCAGGUCAGCAUACUGCCGUGAAUACGUUCCCGGGCCUUGUACACACCGCCCGUCACACCAUGAGAGUUGGGAAUACCCGAAGCCUGUGAGCUAACGUUAAGAGGCAGCAGUCGAAGGUAGAAUCAAUGAUUGGGGUGAAGUCGUAACAAGGUAGC